rnacentral:lncRNA from 1 species
CUCUCUCUCUCUCUAGCUCCUUCUCUUUCUCUCUCUCUCUCUAUAUAUAUAUAUAUAGUAUUCAUUAUUGGCGAGAUUCCCAAAGGCUGGAGCGUCGGCCUUCUCGCCCACUCCAAUUUCGCUCCAGUAGUGCUAACUUAAUGAGCUCAGGGCAUGCCCGGCCCAGCAUGCAUUUGAUGUCUACUUGUGUGCUGCUAUAGCCCCUUGCUUUAGUUACUGUCAUGGUGUUCGCUAACUAUUUUCAUAAAGAAACUAAUAAAACACAGGUGCUAAAUCAAGAAAAGCUGUCAUCAAGGCAAUGGGUGGCUACUUUGAAGAAUCUAAAAAAUAAAAUAUAUUUUGAUUUGUUUAACACUUUUUUGGUUACUACAUGAUUCCAUAUGUGUUAUUUCAUAGUGUGGAUGUCUUCACUAUUAUUCUACAGAACAUAGGAAAAAAAUUGGAAAAAACAUUGAAUGAGUAGGUGUGUCCAAACUGUUGACUGGUAUUCAUUAUUAGACCUGUGUCCAUAUUUUCUAUGAAUUUCUAGUGGAUGUUUUAAGAGAACAAUGCCUAUUUAAUGAAAAGAGCAUCUAACCAACAAUGGCAUUAUUUUCAUUUGUAAUAAGGAAUACUAUAUAUCAAUACAAUUUCUGAAAGUUAUUCAAGUAUAAAUCAUCAAAGUUACCAUAGAUUGCCAUAAAUUACCUAUUAAUUACCCAAAUUACUGAAUAUUCUGGUAACUUUGCUAAAUGACUAUUAGCUUUGCAACCCUACCCUCAAUGCACUUAUUUGUCCACUACCUGAAAAUGAACAGGAUGGUAUAAUGAUCAAAAUUACAAUGUUUCCAGGUCAGGAAGAAGACAAGAACAAUAGGAAUGCGGGUCAAGAUGCCAGUCGGUCCUCUACUAUCACCAUCUGUAUAUAAAUGAACUCACACUGACACAAAUUUACCUUGCACUGAAAAACACACACAGUCAGCAAAACAAACAGAACAUUUUAAAUAGACACAUUAUCCAGAUGGCAAGUUCCAAAUUAUGGAACUAGCAUCUCCUUCUCGUGGUUAUUGAAAGUUCAUAGACGUUAUCAUAGAAUUUACUACAUAAAACACACUACAGAGUAUAUUGAGUUUUACAGUAUGUUAUUUCUCUACUCAGGUGGUCACCAUGCUGGAGAUGAAGAACCGGAAACUCCUAAAUCAAAUAAGAAGAUGCUGUGGAUUCUUUUGCCAGUCUUGGGAGUUGUGGUGGCUGCUGUCAUCUUCAUUUUCAAAUUUAAAUGCAUGAAGGUCCACGAUCACACAGAGGCAAUUGAUAAUGGAACAGAAAAUGCCUCUUUCCAGAGCAGGUCGGACAGCACCAAAGAUGGUGUCAUGCUUCUCGGGGUGAAGUCCUCAGGUGGUACGUUUAAACUGUUUACUUACUAGCAAGUUAGCAUUGUCAAUUGCUGUUAUAUAUUUCACAUGGUCCUCUUCAGCACAGUUCCUGCAGCUAUGGUGGAUGCUUAACCAGACCAGUGCAGUUUGGCUCGGCUCAGUAGUGUGAAAAGAUUCAACCAAGCAAUUAGUCCAAGCAGUUCCCAUGAUUCCUACCCUUCAAGUAAUCGAAAGACAAGGAGGAAAGCUUCAAUCAAAUGAUCAAAGUUCAAGAGAAACAUGCAUACUAGUAGUCUUCUACUUAACUUUUCCAAGUUCUCUGUCCUUUCCCCAUCCCUUUACAUUACAACUUUGUUUUAUCUGGCGUGGACAUGCAAUUAUUCCCGGGAAGCUGGGAGCCUUUAAUAUUUCAUUGUGCAUGUUCAGUAAUGGGCUUGGCCUGGGGAGAGCAGGGGAAGGUGUUUCCUGUGAUUUUUCGCCCCUCCCUUGAAAGACCAGCAGGGGAUGAAAGAUACAGGCUUCCUCACACAAACACAUAUUAUUUUGGACAGCCCCUAUUGUGUGGCUCCCUGGGCCGGCAAAUGUUUUAUUUUAAUUUUUUUUGUCAAUGUCAAUGUUUGCCGGUCAGACCCUGUGUGUAAAGUUCUUCUGCAAUUGUGUGAUCAAAUUAAGAUUCUACAUCUGUAGGUCUACCCUCCAAAUGGGAAUUGGGCAUAAAAAUCCCCACCUUCCUCUCUUUUCACUGUUUUUAUUUCUUUUUAUUUUAUUUCACCUUUAUUUAACCAGGUAGGCCAGUUGAGAACAAGUUCUCAUUUACAACUGCGACCUGGCCAAGAUAAAGCAAAGCAGUGCAACAAAAAAACAACAACACAGAGUUACACGUGGGAUAAACAAAAGUACAGUCAAUAACACAAUAGAAAAAUCUAUAUACAGUGUGUGCAAAUGGAGUGUAAUCAGAGCCUUGAGCUGUUGGCUAGUAGCUGAAGGGGGAAAUGGUGUCAGCGGUCAGGAAUUUUGCUGAGAGAGAAAGUGUUAGUUAGGGUUUUGAAUAACUGACUGCUAUUGUCACAAUUUAGGAUUUCUUUCAAUUUCCUUUUCAAUAAGCCUACACUUUAUUACAUCAAGUUGUUUUAAAGCUGUUUGGGAGAUUUGGAUGUUGCAGUCUCUGAGAGAUUUAUGAUGAAAUAAAAUGUAUAAGAGGCUUCUUUGACUAAAUCACUUUGGAUAAAGACAUCUGUCAAAAUGACCAUGUGGGCCACUGUCAUUUGCGCAACACAGUGCAAUUAACCCCUAGGUCUAGGGCUAUUGUCCCACUUUCAGCCGACACAGCCCAAACUCAGAUAUCUGGACAAUAAUACAAUACUGACCUCUACUGUUCUAUUGAGUAACCACAAAGUAAACACACCAGGGGUGAUUUCAACAGGAGGCAACGUUAUGUAACAUUCAGAUAGAAAUAUGCUAUGUAGAAUAAGGAAUCACGUCAGCUCUAUUCAUGGCAUUUCUAUGUGCAACGUUCGACAACGUUUGGCUACUGAAAUUCCUGUUGUAAUGGGAGGGAUGUUAUAAGGAGCGGUCUCAGUUAUACAACCACACCUCUCAAAUACUGUAUGAUCCUGGGUUGGGGUUUUAUAAUACAUAACCAGUUUGUUAAUUUUGAACUCUCCCUUUCAGCUGCUGCACGAUAAAAAGGAGGGCGUCCCAUUCUACAGUAUAUGACCAAUAGCUCUCACAACCCAAAAAAUGGUCAAGACCUUCAACUAUCUAAAAAUGCUGGACAAUCAAAUAUGGCGUAUAAGAAUCCCAAAAGCUAAGUGGGCACAUUCUUAUACUGUAUAGUGUGGAAAGAAGAUUGGUGUGGAGUAUUGUAGGAUAUGGGACUCUUAACUGAACAUGUGUCUGUUAAAAAAUGUUCACUAAGAUACUGUAUAUCAUUUCAAAAAUAUGUACUUCACUGUUUUUUGUAUUCUUAUUUUGAUGGUAAUUUAGCCAAGGAGGAACUGCGAUCUCAAUUUAAUCAAGACUAACAUCCAGACAUUUCAUUCAGGAAAACAAUGCAAGAUUUUGAAUGAAUAUAAAUAAAUUAACCCAAAAGCUCAUUGUCUGGGUGCAAGAGGAUUGUUUGUCUCAUCCCUGUAUUUAAGAUACUGGUUUUGAUUUUAUAUCACACAAACAUGUAUGAAAUCCAAAUGCAUUGAACCUGAAUUCAGCACACAAUUCCUUGGUUCAAACCAGUUAGUGACCAGUACACAUUAUUAAGUGUUUGUAUGCUUUAAAUCUGUUGUAAUAAAUGAUUUAGCUUUCAGUGUAAAUGCCAGGAUUGUAAAGAUUAGCUAUAUUGCCGGUAUGUUUCCUGCUUUUCAACCAGUUUUUGUGUAUAUUAGAGCAAACAAUAAGACUUCCCACUGGUCAAAGAUGAUUUGAAUUUCUCAAAUAAAGAAGAACGUUAUUUGACUGAUCGGCAUUGGUUGAAUAUUUGUUGUUUUGCACCUGUACAUGCUCACGAAAGUUUAUGUUGAUUUUGGAUGUUGAUUUCACCUGGC